UGGUUGCUAUGGAGGGUUGCUAUGGACUGGUUGCUAUGGAUUGGUUGCUAUGGACGGUUUCUAUGGAUGGUUGCUGACAGAGUAUGCCAGUAUGCAGAAGUAACUUUACGAGGGACAUAACACUUUCCAGUGAUGCAUUCUUCAUUGAGUCAAGGGAGGCUGUGAUUUCGGGAUCAGCAAAGAAAUUCUUCUAAUCAAAGUCGGUCAUGUGAAGUCCUUACAGUGUAGUCGUUCUUCUCAGAGAAACAUAGGCCAUUCCCAG